rnacentral:lncRNA from 1 species
CUCCUCCUCUUGCUCCCCCAGCUCGCCGUCCAGGGCCAUCACACCGCCUCCUCCUCCUCCCCCGCCCCCUCUGGCACCCCCCGCGGGCGGGCCACCCGGGCCACAGCCAGAGCAGGCAUCGGAGAGCUCACGCGGGCCGAGGGCGCGCGACUGGGGAUGCUGGCCCGGGUUCUUUUAAGACGGGUUCUGGACACAAGCGACGGCAGCUUCCGCGACCCCCAUCAGCCCCGCCUCACUCUGGACACCGGGCUGUGAGCUCUGGGACGCGCCCAACUUGGAAAGCGUCUUGCUUGCCCAGCGCGCGCUACUUCUCGGACGAGCACCCGGCGGCGGGGCACAUGCUGCCCCCGCCCCUGCGCGCCUGCGGCUCCCGGCUCUCCCUCCCCUGCGCCGCGCUCUCGCCUCGCUUUCCGCGGGAGCCUUCCAACCGGUUCUCGGCUAGGGAGAAGGACGGGAGCGGUGGGAAGAGCGAGGGUGUAGAGAGGGAAGUUAGGGCUUUCGCUUUCUCCCCCCACUCCAGCGGCGGCGUUCGGUCCUCUGGGUGGAAUGUGCUCGCAGCAGCAGUGACGGCGGCCACAGCACGGGAGGCACCCGAGCCAUACACCCUGCAGCUGGAGAGAAAAGGAUGGCCGAGGUGGGAGAGACUAGAGUGAACCAGCAGGAGGAAGUCCCAGGGCCGCGAAGCUACGACGGAGAUCCGUCCUGGAAAAGCCUUCUCCACCCUGGGCACUUUAAGCGGCGGUGGCGGCAAACGGCAGGAGGUUGCAGACCCGACAGCGAGACUCCCUCAUUCCAGUCUUGCUCUGCCCUCCGGAGAUGACAAGUGAGAAAGAAGUGUCCGGCCGGGCCAUCCCCUUCAGAGAAGCAACCACUUCACAAGAAGAUUCUGAAGUUGGCCAUUUUUGAUCCCAGAACAGUUUCUCAUAGAUUAGAAAUAUUGGAGUCUACACAAAAAUCGAUAUUCAUUUACAAGAUCAUCACUAAACUUAUCUUGCAUAACGUAAGUGGCAAGCUCUGACUUGUGAUUUUUUCAUAAGAAAAAUGUUUUUUAACUUAGUAUCAUUUCUACAACAAUGUCCCAUGAUAAUUGAUUCUAGGUGAUUUGAAACACUGCUUAGUCCUGUUUUAGAAAAAGCUCCCAUAUCUGAUUUAGUCUCAUAUGCAGCUUACUUCUAACAUCAGAUUGAAUUUGCAUUGAGUUACCUUACUCGGUUUAUUUUUUAAUUAUGUUGCAGUUACAAGGGAAUAAGGAAAAGUCAGUAUAGUGCAUUGAAAUGUCUUUUUUAAUUGAGACACACAAGAAAUGUGUUAUAGGUUCCCAAACAUUCUUCAUGUAUUAGAGAUGUUAUAAUAAUCUUUUGAAUAGCCAAGUGAAAAGGAAUGGUUUCACCUGAACAUGUUAGAAUUUAUUGCUACAUUUUUUGUGUGUUGUGGUGGAGAAAUAAAUUUUUAAAUCGCAUUUAUGGAGUCAUUUCAGAACAAGUAGAAAACAUGUAAUCUGGUCACUUUGAAUGUGUAAGUGUUUGUAUCUGAACUCCUCCUGCCCUAUUAAGAGUGGAAGGUUGUACUAUAUGUUACUCAAAAAGUAAUUUUCCCCGGAUAUGCAAUAAGACCUCAGAUUUGACCUAUAAGCUGAAUGUCAUAAGCUAUCCAUUAGCUAUGCUGGAAGCACACCACCAACAACAAAAAAGUUUUAAGUAUUUUUAUAGGCUUGCUAAAAUCUGAUUAUAGAACCAAGGCAGUCAAAUACCAUGAGUAAGACUGCAGAAACCCUAGAAUUUAACUCCCUAGUUAUUCUUAAUGAGUGAAUCCUGUGCUUUGUGUCUAAAAGCAAUGUAUUGUGCUUUCCAAUUCAGGAAAUGCAUUUUAAUUGCUAUACUCAUUGAUACAUCAAUCUGUCCAUGACAUUCUGACAUAUAUCCAGUUUCCUAUGGAUUCGGUAUAGGAGCAAAUUAAAAGAUGCACUAGAAUGGUAACAUUUAAUCUAUAAUCCUCCAUUUAACCUUUAUGUGGCUGUCACAGAACAAGUCCUGUUUUUAGAGUUGAACCAAAAAACAAACAAAACAAAACAAAACAAAACAAAACAUGCACACACACUAGAGAAACGGCUUUUUUUUUUUUAACCUGGGGACCAUGAAAAAGUUUUGACCAUUCCCCGACCCCCAUGCUUCAACUUUAGCUUUGAUAGUUAAAGUAUGUCUUCCUUCAGUUUAAGUUGAACAAACUUCUGCAUAAGACCCUCCAGAAAACCUCUGAACACAUACAGUUUUGGGGGCAAUGGGGACUGAACUAUGUACAAAUAGGUGAUACUUCAGCACACAAUUCCUGGGAUAAAUUUUAUCCUCUUCUCAUUUUUAUUUUUAUGAACUAUAUGGGGUUUUUUAAACAAGUUACAAGAAGCAAAACACAUUUUACCUUUACUCUGUUACAUAUUUCAAAUUAAGCAGAUCCUAAUUAAUUGGGUUACAUUAUGUAACAAUAGCCUUUUUAAUAUCAAAUGGUUUUUAUGAUCUGUCUUCAAUUUUUCUUAAAAUGAGACUGCACUAAAGAUUUUCUUGACAUUUCUGAGAAUUUCAUUUUCAGUUUCAAAAAAUUAUUUAUUCCUUUAAUCUUUCAAUGUGGAAAAGUAAUGAAUAUUGAUUCAUUUUUAGAAGCGCUAACAUCCAACUAGGUAAACUUCAUGAGUGAUGGCUAUUAAUGUUCUCUUUCAUCUUAUAGACAGAAAAUCAAAGCUAUUUAAAGUAAAGGAUUUGUUUCAAAUCAAUGUAUGUCCACAAAUUAACAUUAAUGUUUACAAUACUUUCUGUGAUAAUUGUGUCUUACUUGGGUGUAUAUAUGUCUUUAUAUCUAUCUGUAAAGAUAUAGUUGCAAGUAGAUGAGAGACGAAUGUUCAUGUUUCUAUAUGGUCUGAAUAAAAGUGUUAUCACUAUGCUAACUUGCAGUGUUAUAAAAUGCACCAAUGGCUCUUUGUGCCACUCCUUCAUUUUCAGUGGUUACCAAGAUAGUCAAAUUAAACUGCUGAUGUGAUAAUCAUCCAAACAUUUAAUUUUAACACUAUGAUUAUAGAAUUUUUUUAUUUCUAUGAGAUUUACCUAUAGUAGCUUUCUGUUUAAUGUUCAAUGUUCUAUAGGAGUUUCCUUUUAAAUGUUCAGAGCAGGAGCUAUACCCUCUAGGAUAUGCAAAUAAUCAAGUCUUAGCGACCUUAUAAAAUAUAAUCCACAUUAUGAAUCAAACAGAAUGAGCCUUCAGAUCUGAUUGCCUAAGGCUCAAAAUGUUAAUGCUCCUGAAAUGCCUUGUACAUAUUAGCUAGUUGAAAUUGCAUUAAAACAAGAGAACGAAUUGUAGUCUUGACCUCAGUCUCAUUUCACCAGCCUUUGCCUGCUACUGCCAACCUGAGAGGGGAGCUUCUGCUCUGCAGAUGGAUGGACAGCUGCUGAUCUUCACCUCCUGUCUGUUCCCACAAUUCUAAAAGAAUUAGGCCUGAGGAACUUAAUCUUCUGGUGUUCCAUUGUGAACUGACUUUAUUAAAUUUUUUCCAAAGUUCAGUGUUCUUCAGUUCUUUCUCAGAGUACAAAUUGAAGAGACACAGAGCCAGUUCCAAAUGAACUGAAAUUGUUUUGUAAAAAAUUAAUUCAAACAAUAAUGCCAUGGAAAAGCACUUUGAAUUUUUCAAUUCCCAGGCUAUUGAUUCUAAAAAAGAAACAAUUCUAAAUUAUCCACAUGUUCUCAUUUAUUAGUCUAGAGCUCUUGCCCAAAGAAUUAUUUGCCAAGGUAAUAUAUAGAACAUCAGGAUGAUUUACUUGCUUUUCUAAUACCAUUUUGCCCACAAACUCUAUGGAACUGAAAGCAUGUCAGCAGCAAAAGAAGGUCCACUAGCAGCUAUAAAAGAGAGCUUACUAAUGAACAAUAAAUAUCUAAAAGUAAAGGGAAAGGAGCCAAAUUCCAUUUUCAAAAGCCAAAAUUCUGCAGUAGGUAAAUAUCACAGAUAGCAUUGCUUAUUAUUUAUAAUCACUACUAAGAGUAAUCUAUCAUUUCUUUAAAUCCUCAAAAUAGGUCUCUGCCAGCCACAUUAACUGCCUGCAGAAAAGUUUGUUAUGACUGCCUGGUUUUGUAAAGUCCAGACAACUUUACACUAAGCUGAAUAAUGUUCAUUUACUCAAAAGCUAGUCUAAAAUUGUAGAGUUAAUGAACACUAAACCAAAGUUAGUGCUUUAACUGAAAGAUAAUUUACUGUACCCUUUGGAGUCCAGUCCGGUACCAUCAAGAUCUGGGAAAAUACAACUGUUACCAAGAAUAACUGUAAAAUGUGCUGGGAAUGCAAUGUCCUGAGAUAAGGAAGAACUGCCUGAAACAGCCUGGAUCUUAUUCCUGUACUUCCUAGGGAAUGUAACAUCUCAAGUUAAAGAGGAACUGCCCGGAACAGCCCGGGGAUUGUUCCUCUCUCCUGAGAAGGAAGAUUACCUCCAAAGCUCAUCCACUGAGUCACACUGCCCCUGUGGUGGAGGGCGGGCUGCCUUUCCAGGUUCCUCAGCUGUGGUGUAACUGAAGCAGGCACAAUCAAGACUCCAUCUGCUCGAGGCAGCUUUCUCGAACCUUGGGGAACCUACUCACAAUGGAUCACAGGCUUCUUUUGUUUUGUUUCUUGCUGCCUAUCUGUAAGUAAUUAACUUGCUUCAUGUAACGUGUUGCAUAUGAGUGUGUUCUGUCUCAUAGACUCAGGGAAUUGGUAACACUGCAGCUGAGGACGCAGUGGACAGAAGUGUUCAGACUCCUGUUCCUUGUGGUUGACACAGUGAUGAUGAUCUCUUCUGUCCUCCACAGAGUGGAAGUCCUCUCUUGGGAUUGGUUAUUGGUGAAACCACUUCGCAAUUUAUUAAGAUGGCAAAAGCUUACGGAGGGACAGAUUUGAGGGGAAGAUCAAGAUUUUUCUGUCAGUAUUGCAAAUAGUCAAGAAUAUGUGGUCCAAGAAGUGAUCAUUAUCUUUGGCAUUGUGCAAGUCAUUAGUGACCUUCACAUGAACAGUCUCAGUGGAGUGUUGGAGGAAAAAGCCUAACUGAAGAAGGUUCAAGAGUGAAUGGAAAAAGAGCAGUAGUAUGUGGAGAGUACAGACAAGUAUUUCCAGGAGCCUUUCUGUAAAGAGUGGUAGAGAAUGGGACAUCAUUUUUGGAUGGGGGAAGAGUUAUUUAUAGCAUGUUCAUAUGCUAAUGGAAGUGAUCUACUCAUGGGGAAAAUCUUGAUGAUGCAAGAAAGAAAGGGAUUUGUUGGAAUCUUGUCCUAUAACGGGUGAGAGGGGAUGGGUUCUAGAAGAAAAGGCAUGGGUCUUUGUUUGAGAUCAGGCAAUUCAUCUGUAGGAACCAGUAGGAAGAUGGUUAAGUGGGUACCUGUGGUAGUGGAUGUUUGUGAACAUUCUUUUCUUUUCCAUUGUUUCUAUUUUCUCAAUAAAGUGGGAAGCAAAAAUCAGCUGAGUGAAGAUGAGGAAGAAGGUGUUAAAGGUUUGAAGAAAAAAGGAAAAGGAUAUACUAAUCUAAGAGGACAAGUAAGUAGAACAUAGAUAAUGAAAAUGCUGGCCCUUAGGACUGUUGGGCCUAAAUGCUCAUAUUAUAUUGGUAGUCACAAAUUUGAACUUUCUCUAGAGCCAAUUUUUGCAUGUGUGUGCAGGCCUGGAGUAGUUGGAGAGUUGGAUUUAAUAGAAUUGAGGGUCAAGCAACUACAACCAGGGAAGAGUGGGACAAGGGAGAUAAAGGAUAUUGGCAGGGGAGCAAUUAUAAACAUGGACCAUGAUCAAAACUGGACAGGAAGGAAAAUAGAGAUAAGAGGGGUGGAAGGUUAAAAAUAGUGAAAAUGAGAUAGAAUGAAUAGGUUGUAGGUCCCUGUAAAGUUGAAGAAGUAUUAUUAUGCAGUACUCGUUAUUGAAAUGAGGUCACUAUGCUUAAGGCACAGUGAAUCCUAGAAAAUAGUGGUUUUGUUUCUCAUUAGGCAAUACAUUCCUCCUUGCUCCAGAAUGCAACAUACAUGUAUCCUUUUCUGUACUAUUUUUUAUUAAGAAUUCAUACUUAAUUCCACUGACUGCCACUCAAUUUUAAUGUACAGUAGGGAAUUCCUGUACUAUGUAUUAUGAAUCCAUUCCUUUGAAUUUCAUUUAUAAUACUUCAUGACUGACACCUGGCUUUCCACCAAGACUCAAUUUUCAUAGCAAGCCUCAUCAUCAUAAGCCCCCAAAUUAACAGGAUGAGGAGGAAGAAUUGGCAGGCUAAAGAAGAUGAUUAUAUCAAUUAAUGCAGAAAAAGCAUUUGAUAAAAUCCAAUAUUCAUUUGUAAUUAAAAACUCUCAGCAAGUUAGGGAUAGGAAUUACUUCAACUUAAUGAAGAGUGUCUUUAAAAACCUUAUUUUCAUCAGUUAUAACAAAUGUACCACUCUGGUGGUGAAUGUUGCUAAGGAGGGAAGCUAUACAUGUGUGGGGAAAGGAGAUGUGUGAGCAAUUUCUGUACCUUCUACUCAAUCUUCUGUGAGACUAAAAUUGCUGUAAAAAAUAAAGUUCAUUUUUUUAAAAACCUACAGCUGUCAUUCUUAAUGCUGAAAGACAGAAUGCUUUUCUCUAAGAUAGGGAACAAGGCAAAGAUUCAGUUCUCACCACUCCUAUUCAACACAGCACUACAAGUUCUAGCCACUGAAAUGGGGGUUGGGGGGAAGCAGAAGAAGAAAAGAAAUAAAAUGUAUACAGUUUCAAAAGGAAGAAUUAAAAUAGUCCCUGUGUGCAGAUGACAUGAUUGUCUAUUUAGUAAACCCAUGGAUUAUACAAAAAUAAAAUUCCGAGAACUUAAAAAGUGAUUUCAGCAAGAUCACAGGAUAUAAGAUCGAGAUGAAAACCAAUGUCAUUUCUAUAUACAGUAAGUCCUCUCUCUUAAUAUCAUCAAUAGGUUCUUGGAAACUGACUUUAAGCAAAACAACAUAAAACUAAACCCAAUUUUUCAUCAUCAAAGUUAUAACAAAAUGAUGUUGAACAAAACUACAUUAUUUCAGGACCUGCCAUACAUCAUGUCACUUAAAAUUACAGUUUCUAAGAACCUACCAAUGGCAUUAUGUGAGAAUUACUGUAGUAACAAUAAACGUAUGAAAACCAAAAUUAAAACACAUUUACAAUCAACCCAAGGAAAAUGAAAUAUUGAGGUAUAAACUUAAUGUUUUAUGAGGCAACUUAAUGAGGCAAAAAAAUGUAUACUAUCUGAUGCUGAAAAUUGCAAAUGCUGAUGAAAGAAAUCAGUGAUGACAAAUAAACAGAGAGACAUACUAUAGUCACAAAUUGGAAGACUCAACAUAGUAAAAAUGUCAAUUUGCCUCAAAGUAAUCUGUAGGUAUAAGACAAUUAUCAAAAUUCAGGGAAGUUUUUUGUAGGCAUUGGCUAGCCUAUUCUAAAAUUUAUAUGAAAAGCACAAACCUUAGAAUAUCUAAGAUAAUCUGAAAAGAAGAAUAAAGUGAGAGGAAUCACUCUACCUGAUAUUAAGCUUUAUAAUACAGUAACAGUACUCAAGACUGUGUGGUAUUUGCCAAGGCAUGGACUCAGAUCAAUGGAACAGAAGAGAAAACACAGGAAUAGACCCAUAUAAACAUUUCCAACUGAUUGUUUUCCAAUCGAUUUGUGACAAAAGUGCAGAAGUAAUUCAGUGAAGGAAGGAUAGCCUUGCAACAAGUUGUGCUGAAGCAGUGAGCACCCAUAGGCAAAAAGAAAAAGAGAACAUCAACCUUAACCUCACAUCUUAUACAAAAAUUAAUCCAAAAUUGAUAAUAGACUUAAAUGUAAAAUAUAAAACAUUUCACAAAAAUAGAAGAAAGUCUUCAGGAUCUAGGACUAGGCAAAUAAUUCUUAAAUGAUAUCAAAAGCAUAAUUCAUAAAGGGAAAAGUUGAUAAAUUAGACCUCAUUAAAAUUAAAAACUUAUGGAAAAUGUGCUGUUAAGAGGAUAAAAAAUAUAAGCUACAGACUGAAAGAAAAUAUUUGCAAGCCACAUAACUGACAAAGGACUAGUAUCUAGAAUAUAUAAAGAAUUUUCAAUACUCAGUUGUAAAAACAAAAUAAUUCAACCAGAAAAUUGAUAUGAGCAAACAUGUCACUGAAGAGGAUGUACAGAUGGCAAAAAUGCAUGUAAAAAGAUUUCAACUUCAUAAACCGUUAGGGAAAUGUGAAUUAAGCAACCAAUCAGAAUGGUUAAAAUGUUUAAAAAAUAGUAACACCACCAAAUAUUGGCAAGGAUAUAAAGGAAUCGAAUCACUCAUGCAUUGCUAGUAAAAAAUGUAAAGAGGUACAGCCACACUGGGAAACCUUUUCAUGGUUUUCUAAAAACUAAGCAUGGAGUUACCAUACAUCCCAGCAGUUCUACUCAUCAGCAUUUAUCCCAGAGAAAUAAAAAUUUAUGUUUACACUAAAACCUAUAUAUGAAUGUUCAUAAUAGCAUUUUUCAUAGUAGCCAAAAAUUGGAACCGUCUCAGGUGUCCUACCAUGGGUGAAUGGUUAAACAAACUAUGGUGCAUCUAUAUCUACCAUGAAGUAGAACUCAGCAAUAAAAAGGAAUGAACUAUUCAUACACCUUAUAACUUGGAUGCAUCUCCAGGUAAUUGUGCUGAGUGAAAAAAAAAAAAAAAAGCCCCAAUUCCAAAAGGUUAUAUACUCUAUGAUUCUACUUCUGCAAUGUUUAUUAAAUGAUAAAAUUACAGAAGUGGGAAAAUGAUUAGUGGUUUCCAGGGGGUAUAUACAGUAAGGGUGAGAGGGCCGGAAGAGUGCAGUUUUAUAAGGGCAACAUAAGGGACCCUUAUGGUGAUGGGACUGUUCUGUAUCUUGACUCUGUUGGUAGUCACAUGAAUCUACACAUGAUAAAAUUGCAUAGAAUUAAACAUAUAUACACACUCAAAUGAAUGCAUGUAAAACCGGUAAAAUCUGAAUAAGGUAAAUGGAUCAUAAUCAAUGUCAAUUUUCCAUUUGUGAUAUUAUACUAUAGUUAUGUAAGAUGAUGUUAGCAUUGGGAGAAACUGGGUGAUGGAUAUACAGAAUCUUUCUGUAUUAUUUCUUGUAAUUGCAUAUGUAUCUCAAUGGUCUCAAAAUAAAAAGUUAAAUAAAUAAGAGAGACCAAAAAGUGGCUUUCCAGUGGAGAACUGAGAUAAUCUGAGCAUCUUAUGCUCUAAAUAAAGUAUGCAAUAAAAAUAAAAUAUAUAUAUAUAUAUAUAUAUAUAUCUGUAAGUCAUAUUGAAAGUUACACACCAUUUUGGGGAAAAGUCAAGUAAAAACAGCAGUAUACACUAUUAGCUUUAACAUUAGGCUUUGAGACUAUCUCUGGCCUUUUCUCUGGCCAAAGGGAAAGAAAUCCUCAGAUCUACUCUGAAGCCUUUCUUAGACUGAGAAGCCUCUGAUAGCAUUUCAAAGCAGCUUAGUGCCAAACAUUCUUUGAGCAUCCAGUAAGAGUCUGUUUGCAACUUAAUAGAAAGAUUUUUUAAGUUGCCUUUUGACUAUACACAAUGAGUUCUCUUUUUAUCUGGUUCCUGAUUACUCUCUGACCUUUAUCAUACAAAGAAAGAUCUUUCAGCCUAUUCCAAUCUGUACUAAAAUUCAGAUAAGAGGAAGCAUCCUCAAAGCUGGAUUAUCUGACUCUGAAGCCAGCGUGAUCCUCCUACUGCCUUCAGCAGCUUUUCGUAGUGUUCAGCCAGAACUGACAUUUCUACAUUCUACACUGCCAGCCUUUAAUGACCUCUCUCAUCUCCAAACUUCUAUAACAAUUAUUACCUAUACUAUGCAAUAAAAAACACUCAUUUUAAGUAUAAGUUUAAUGCCAUGUUGACAAAUGAAUUCAGCCCUGUGUGACCAUUGUCAUAAUCAAGUAACAGAACAUUUCCAUCACCCUAAAAAGUUCCCUUGGCCUCUUGCUCUUUUCCCCAGCCCCAGGCAACCAUUAUUUUGCUUUUUAUCACUAUAGUUUUGUCUGUUCUAGAAUUUUACUUAAGUGAAAGCAAAAGUGAAUAUUCUUUUGUCAUCUGGCUUCUUUAAAUUCUUCAGCAUAAUUUUUUAUAUUUAUGCAGUUCUUCUUAUCAGUUUAUUUUUAUUGGUGAGUAGUAGUCUUUUGUUAUAUAAGUUAUAUAAGUGGUAUUAUAUUUUGUUUAUUCAUUUACCUGUUCUUGGAUGUUGAGUCACCGCAAGUUUUGGACUAUUACAAAUAAAGCUGAUAUGAAUAUUCAUGUAUGAGUCUUUGUAUGCCAUCAUAUGCUUUCAUUUCUCUUGGGUAAAUAACUAGAAGUGGAAUGACUGGAUCUAAUGGUAAGUGUAUAUUUGUUUAAUAUACACUUUAUAAAUACUCGAGCAUUUAUAAAGUAUUUUACAUUCCCAUCAACAACACAUGAGAGUUAGCAUUCUUGCUAACACUUGCUUAUUCUUUUUAUUGUAGCCAUUCUGGUGUGUGUAUAGUUAUCUAUCAUAUGGUUCUAAAUUACAUUUUCCUGAUGACUAAUAAUGUUGCACAUCUUUGUAUGUGCUUACCAGCUUCCAUAUGUCUUUUUAUUUUUUGAGAGUUCUCACUAUAUUUCCCAGGCUGAUCUGAAACUCCAGGGCUCAACCAACCCUCCUGCUUCAGUCUCCAGAGUAACUGGGAUUACAGGUACAUACCACCAUGCCCAGCUCAUAUAUUUUCUUUUGUGAAGUUAUGCUAAAAUCUUCUGCUUAUUUUUAAUUGGGUUGUUUCUCUUCUUAUGACUGAGUUUAUAUAUUAUGGAUAAAAUUCUUUGUCAGGUACACAGAUUAUUAAAAAUUACCUCCCAAUUCAUGGCUUACUUUUUGUUUUGCUUACGAAUGUCUUUGAAAAUCAAUGUUUUCAUUUUAAUAAGAUCCAAUUUAUCAUUUUUUUUAAGUUUUGCUAUUAGCCAUUUUGUCUUCUAUGAAAAUUUUGCCUACCCCAACGUCAUGAAGAUUUUCUCCUAUGCUUUUGUCUAGAUGUGUUAUAGUUACAUCAUUUAUAUUUAGUGCUAGGAUGCAUUCUAAAUUUCUUUUGAUUCAAAAAUAAUAAUAAAAACCAGAGCUCAACACCCUUUGUCUCCAUUAAUAUGAAACUUAUUUUAAGUGAACCUGUUAGAGGAUCUAUGUUUUAUUUUAAAAAACAAAGAAUUACCAACAAUGUAAUAAAUAAGAACAUUAAGAUCUAUCAAUGAGGGUUUCAAAUAUGUAAACUGUUUAGAUUUUUAGAAAACUGCCUAGAUUUCACAUCUACCAAGGCAAAAGCAUUAACUGUAAGAAUUUGCACCUUAAUUGUGCGCUCUUCAAGAAUUCCACCUCUGGUUCUGUCUUUGCUCUUGAAAUUCUCACAGCUCAAUAGGUUUUGCAUAGAAGACAUGAGAACAGGAGGGCUCAAUAGCAAUUCUCCCCUUUUCCUGUAGUCAAGAGUUAGAAGAACCAUUACACAAUCAGUAAAUUCUAAACCUUCUGCAUUUGUUCUCCUUCCUCUUCUCUGAUGUUCUAUUUUCAGUGAUUUAUCCUCUGAAAUGGGUUAGUCUCAGAAAAUGUAAGAGGGAAUUUCACAAUCAGGAAAAGCAUUUGUAAUAUUGAUUCUUUUUAAAAUGUAUGUGAAAACACAUAUGAAUAAGCACUUCGCUUUUUUUUUUUUUUUUUUUUUUGAGACAGAGUCUCGCUUUGUUGCCCAGGCUGGAGUGCAGUGGCGCGAUCUCGGCUCACUGCAACCUCCGCCUCCCGAGUUGAAGCAAUUCUCCUGCCUCAGCCCCCU